UGCGCAGGCGGUUAUGUAAGACAGAUGUGAAAUCCCCGGGCUCAACCUGGGAACUGCAUUUGUGACUGCAUGGCUAGAGUACGGGUAGGGGGGGAUGGAAUUCCGCGUGUAGCAGUGAAAUGCGUAGAUAUGCGGAGGAACACCGAUGGCGAAGGCGGCUACCUGGACCGAUAUUGACGCUGAGACGCGAAAGCGUGGGUAGCAAACA
rnacentral:rRNA from 1 species